CCGCGUGAGUGAAGAAGGCCCUCGGGUUGUAAAGCUCUCUUGUCAGGCAAGAAACACCGGCUCUAACACAGUCCGGGAAUGACGGUACCUGAAGAAUAAGCACCGGCUAACUACGUGCCAGCAGCCGCGGUAAUACGUAGGGUGCGAGCGUUAAUCGGAAUUACUGGGCGUAAAGCGUGCGCAGGCGGUUAUACAAGACAGGCGUGAAAUCCCCGGGCUUAACCUGGGAAUGGCGCCUGUGACUGUAUAGCUAGAGUGUGUCAGAGGGGGGUAGAAUUCCACGUGUAGCAGUGAAAUGCGUAGAUAUGUGGAGGAAUACCAAUGGCGAAGGCAGCCCCCUGGGAUAACACUGACGCUCAUGCACGAAAGCGUGGGGAGCAAAC
rnacentral:rRNA from 1 species